AAACUGCGAUAAGUAGUGUGAAUUGCAUUUAGUGAAUCAUCGAAUCUUUGAACGCACCCUGCACUCACUGGUAUUCCGGUGAGUACGCCUGUUUCAGUAUCAUUGAAAACACACAAUCAAAACAUUUUCUUUGGUUUGAUUGGCUUUGGGUCUAUCAAAAAGUUUGGCUUGUUUCUUACAAGCCAAGCGGCCUGAAAUAUAUUGUCUGGCUAAUUGCAUCGUUGAUGAUCGCUAUUAGACUUUGGCUUUUUUAAAUGAACUGGAGGUUGAUUAACCAGUUUUAGCUUUAGUCAAAUGGUCAUUGUAAAAAAAAUCUCGAUCUUGGCCAGGUGUUUAUAGCCGAAAAUUUUUUUUUGGCUAUAACCGAAACCAAUAUAAUCACAUUUAGUUAUCGAUCUGAAAUCAGGUGGGACUACCCGCUGAACUUAAGC
rnacentral:misc_RNA from 1 species